CCUACGGGUGGCAGCAGUGAGGAAUAUUGGUCAAUGGGCGGGAGCCUGAACCAGCCAAGCCGCGUGAGGGAAGAAGGUACAGCGUAUCGUAAACCUCUUUUGUCAGGGAACAAAGGCGGGGACUAGUCCCCGGAUGAGGGUACCUGAAGAAAAAGCAUCGGCUAACUCCGUGCCAGCAGACGCGGUAAUACGGGGGAGGCGAGCGUUAUCCGGAUUUAUGGGGGUUAAAGGGUGCGCAGGCGGCCUGUUAAGUCAGCGGUAAAAGCCCGGGGCUCAACUCCGGCGAGCCUGUGAAACUGGCGGGCUGGAGUUGGAUAGAGGGACGCGGAAUGCGCGGUGUAGCGGUGAAAUGCUUAGAGAUGGCGCAGAACCCCGAUUGCGAAGGCAGCGUACUGGCUCCACACUGACGCUGAGGUACGAAAGCGUGGGUAUCGAACAGGAUUAGAUACCCCUGUAGUC
rnacentral:rRNA from 1 species